GGGGGUAUAGCUCAAUGGUAGAGCGUAUGCUUGGUGUGUAUGGGGUCCUGGGUUCGAUCCCCAGUGCCUCUG
rnacentral:tRNA from 1 species